rnacentral:rRNA from 1 species
GACGAACGCUGGCGGCGUGCUUAACACAUGCAAGUCGAACGGAAAGGCCCCUUUGGGGGUACUCGAGUAGCGAACGGGUGAGUAACACGUGAGUAACCUGCCCUUGACUUCGGGAUAACUUCAGGAAACUGGGGCUAAUACCGGAUAGGAAUCCUUGCUGCAUGGUGGGGGUUGGAAAGCUUCGGCGGUUUUGGAUGGACUCGCGGCGUAUCAGCUUGUUGGUGGGGUAGUGGCUUACCAAGGCUUUGACGGGUAGCCGGCCUGAGAGGGCGACCGGCCACAUUGGGACUGAGAUACGGCCCAGACUCCUACGGGAGGCAGCAGUGGGGAAUAUUGCACAAUGGGCGGAAGCCUGAUGCAGCAACGCCGCGUGCGGGAUGACGGCCUUCGGGUUGUAAACCGCUUUCAGCAGGGGCGAAGCUUGUGGUGACGGUACCUGCAGAAGAAGCACCGGCUAACUACGUG